AACGAACGCUGGCGGCAUGCCUAACACAUGCAAGUCGAACGAGACCUUCGGGUCUAGUGGCGCACGGGUGCGUAACGCGUGAGAACCUGCCCUUAGGUUCGGAAUAACUCCCCGAAAGGGGUGCUAAUACCGGAUAAUGUCUUCGGACCAAAGAUUUAUCGGCUUUGGAUGGGCCCGCGUUGGAUUAGCUAGUUGGUAGGGUAAAAGCCUACCAAGGCGACGAUCCAUAGCUGGUCUGAGAGGAUGAUCAGCCACACUGGGACUGAGACACGGCCCAGACUCCUACGGGAGGCAGCAGUGGGGAAUAUUAGACAAGGGGCGAAAGCCUGAUCCAGCAAUGCCGCGUGAGUGAUGAAGGCCUUAGGGUUGUAAAGCUCUUUUACCCGGGAUGAUAAUGACAGUACCGGGAGAAUAAGCUCCGGCUAACUCCGUG
rnacentral:rRNA from 1 species